ensembl:lncRNA
CAGAGUGUCUAUCAUUGCCAAAUACGGUUGAGAUCAGAAGUCAUUACCUAUUUUAAUAUCAUUCUGGUGAAGGAAUUGAAGGGUGUAAUAUGAAUCAUUAUAUACCCUUAACACAAAACUGGUUUCCACUUAAUAUUUUCCUGGUUAUUUCCCUGAUUAUCCCAUAUUCUCUCUCAAAUGUUUCAGUGUUAUACAGGAAUAAAGUCCUCCUGCCUAUUCAGUAUUAGAAGUUAGAACUAAAUUAGAACUAAGGGCAAAAAGCAUAAAUUUUGAGGCACACAUGUGCCAAAGAAAACAAAGGCGUUCCUGAGUGGAGGAGGUUGAGAGAUGAAAUGUUUUUAAAACACAGGACCAGUAGGAUAGGAUGGUUCAUUUUUGUUGGGAAGUAGAGUUCACAUGUUUAUGAUGUCACUAGAUGUUUCUGCCAAUGAGGACUCAGGAAGCGACCACAAGGUUCUGCUCUUGAAGAGAAGGCUAGGAUGGGCCUCAGUGAUAAAAGGUGCCGUGGAAAACAAAGUGUAAUCAAAAGAUGAAAGCUGAAACAGAAAAAUUAAAAGAAGAAAUAAAAGAAAAGUCAACACCCUUUUGUGUGAAAUGUGGGAUAGUUAAACCAUAUCGCAUUCUUAUCCUCGUCUGCACUUUCAGUGGUUCUGCCCUUCUGUGGUGGGCCUUCAGCCUCUCCACCUGGGUGAGGAUAGAAAUCCCAAGUGGCUCCCAAGUCCUUUUCAGCGCUCUUUUUGCAAUAUGCAGUAGUGAGAUCAAGUGUUGGAUUCCACUAUCAAAAUCAAGUAAGUCCUAGCCUUGAAAGGGAGGGUCCUUCUCCAACCCUGUCCUUGCUGGGAAUUUUCAGUCUCGUUUUCUGCCCCAGUACACCUGAAGGAAGCAGUUAUACUUCCAUCAGUAACAUUGGCUCAUUUCAGAAUGAGUGUGGGGACCAGGCUUCCCUAGGGAUACCAGCCCAGGGAGAAUCAGCUAAAUCUUUCGUGUGGUUGACAUCUCCCUCCAUCCCUAAGCUUCCCACCACUUGCCAAUGGUUCCUGCCUUAAAGUCUCUGUACAAUUUCUUUAGUAUUCUGGGGAUUCAGACUCACAAGGAAGGGGGGCCCUAGAGGGAGCUGCUGGCCUUUCUCCCCUCUCCCUCCCUAAUUCAGACGACUACAUCUUUGGUCGAAUUUUCAUGAUCAGCGCCCUUCUUCUCUCCUUCUUCCUGAGCUUUAUACUCCUGGUCUUACCUCAUUCCCUUCCUGAUACCCGGAAACAGUACUUUGUCUUCACAAUCGUCUUCUUCGUCAUAGGUAAGGGAUGAAAGAAAGAGGGUUCCUUCCAUUAUUCUGGUUCUGGGCUUGGGUGGUAAUCCAUUGGGCAUAGCCUCUUGGACGUUGUUCAUGGACUGCUAAGGGAAAAGAUAAUAAAAAGAAUGACAACAAAAGGAAAGAAAUAGAGUAUGGGGAAUUAAAAUGACCACCUAAGAUCUUGAGAAUUAGCCCUGAGGCCAGAGACUAAGCUAACCAGAUGUGUUGUUGCCCCCACCCCCACUUUUUUUUCUGAGUAACAGGUAUCUGUGUGUUCCUUGCAUUACUGCUGCACUCUCUGCAUGUUUUGAAAGUAACCAACUUAUGCAAGGAUGCGAAAAUCACCUUUCUCUACCCUACUUUCAUCCUUUCAUUCAGCGCCAUACUAUUUUUCUUAUCUGGAAUCCUCUGCUUAUUCAGCUCCCAUCAUUGUUGGCUUCAGUGCGUCUUACAGCAACCAAUCCAAGUGAAACCUAUGCAAAUGUCAGUGGUCAGUGGGAACUCAGCAAUGGUCACAGAAAGGACACCGGGUAGAGAUGGCUAGCCUAACCUCAGUGGUGGUGAGAAAGCUGAUUUUAGAAGAAACAUGUCUCACCUGUAAUUCAAGAUUUCACAGCUAUACACACACUCUUAUUUAAUUACUGCAUAAGACUGGAAAGAGUUGGCUGGUUACUAAUCAUUGUUCAAGAUAUGGCUUAGGAUUCCGGGGACUUAGAUAUUCAUAAGAGAGAAAACACAGUUGGGGUGUGGGGAAAGUUGAGUGUUUGGCUCUUGGGGACUUGAAAUGAAAAAAACUUCUCUUCACCUUGAAGAUUCUUCUCUUGGCACCCAUUUCCCAACCCUCUUGCUGGUAUGCCUGGUCUCCUGGCAGUGGUUUUUUUUAGCAGUAACAAAACUCUCUCUCCACUAUAAAGCCUGAGUUUGAUAAAAACAAAUUUUUUUUCUGCUCUCUGGGAAUUUCAUGAGUGGAAUCUUUUCACUACUGUGUUAUUCGGGACUCUUUUUUUUUUUUUUUUUUUUUGCAUGUAACAAACCUUAUCCAAACUACCUUCAACAAAAAUUGAAUUUAUUGGAUGCAGGGGUUACCUCAUAGACUCAAAAAAAGUUCUGGUAGAAUCAGGGCUACAUGAGAGAGUUGGGGAGCUGGAAUCUUGAGAUCAUUUCCUCAGGAUACUAUUUUUUUAAACUAUCCACUGAAGGUUAAUGGAAUUUCUCAAUCCUUAAAAUGGAAGCACUAUCCUAAAUUCCUCUUGCUCAUCACUUUCAAUGAAUCACCAAAGCUUGUCCUUUCCACCUCAACAAGACUUCCGUUCCCCUCCCUGAGCCCUCCUCACUGGUCAUCGUGACCAGGUCUUUGUCAUCCCUGCCCAGACUGUGUUGUCUCUGAAUGUGGCUUGUCCCCCACUGUGGCCUACCUCUGCGAAGCUGCCCAGCUCGAGCUUCCUAAAAUACAGAGAUGAGAAUGUGCUCCUUAAAAGCCUAUUUUGCCUUCUUCUGGCCUUCAGGAUAAAUUCCUUAUCUUGAUAAAUAAAGUUAUUUACAAGUUGGCA